GCCCCGGAGCCUGCCUGGCGCCGAGAUGCUGUUCCAGAGGUGAGGGUGGCUGCCCCGGCUCGGCCCCAGGAGCUCAGGGAUGGCUCCAGCCAGAGGGCGAACUUCUCCUGGCACAGGUGCAUGGUAGAGGCAGAAGCUGGGCUGGCUGAGCUUGGGAGCUGUGUCUGUAGCUGCUCUGCUGCUUCCAGAAUACCAACUGAUGCUGUGCAGCAGCACUUUGCUUAUUGUGAAGGUGAUGAACACACAACCCUGGGGUGAAGUAAACAAACCUGAGACAAGCACUAGAGCAGGUAAGUGGUUUCUGGAAGAUUGUGUGUCCAUUGAUACGUGGUGCAGCACUGGGCCUGAACUCCUCUCACCAUCGGUUUCCUUCAGCAUCUAGUGAGGUGCCAGAGAGCUGUGACACUGGCAGGAGUGUCUCUGGCAGACCAGCAGAGCUGGGGCCCUGCAUUGCACUGAAAAGGGUGAGCUGUGCCAAGAACCCUGACUAAACUUCCUUCAGCUGUGUCUUCUGCAUGGAUACCACACCUGUACUGCAGAAAAAACGUGGACAUUUAGAGACUCCAGAUGUGUGCCUCUCACCAAACUUUUAAGAAUGGUUAGACUCAUGGACAUCAGUGCUGUGACAGAUCAGAAAGUAAGACAGAUGAGAGGCUUUUCAACAGCA